CGCAUAUAGACUCAAAGUUGUCCGAAGGUACUGAGGUUUUUGAGAUUUUAGGUUCCACAGCUUUCGCUUUCCUCUCCUCCAAGCGCCCAAAAUGGGAAAGAAGAAGAAUAAGAAUACGACGGAAAGUGGCCAUGAAGGAUCCGAAACCAAACACAGCCCUAAUACUGUGUUCGUUUCUAACUUGCCUCGCUCUUUCACCAAUUCUCAGCUUGAAGAAACAUUCAGCGACGUCGGACCAAUCAGGCGUUGUUUUAUUGUUACGCAGAAGGGGUCAACUGAACACCGUGGUUUUGGUUUUGUUCAAUUUGCUAUUAAAGAAGAUGCUAACCGUGCAAUUGAGCUAAAAAAUGGUUCUUCUGUUGGGGGUCAGAAAAUUGCCGUUAAACAAGCUAAGAGUCGUGCUCCACUAGAGCAACGUCAAACAAAGGCGGCUCAAGUGGUUGACUCAGAUGGUGCAACAAAGACCAAGAAUGAUGCUAUUUCUAGGGUAGAUAAGGAUGCUUCAAACUUAACAGAAUCAGGGAAGGAUCUGAAACCAAGACAAGCAGUGAAACUUGUCAAUGAAUUGGUCGACAAAGAGAGCUGUUCUGAAAAGCAGAGGGUAGCUAGGACUGUAAUAUUUGGUGGUCUUCUGAAUGAUGCUAUGGCUGAAGAGGUUCAUCAUCAUGCCAAAGAGGUUGGGAAUGCAUGUUCUGUAACUUAUCCUCUUCCUGAGGAAGAGCUUCAGCAGCAUGGUCUUGCUCAAGAUGGAUGCAGAUUGGGUGCAUCAGCUGUACUUUAUACAAGUGUCAAAGAAGCACGGUCUGCUGUGGCCAUGUUACACCAAAAAGAAAUCAAGGGAGGAAUUGUUUGGGCACGCCAGCUAGGUGGAGAGGGUUCCAGGACUCAGAAAUGGAAAAUUAUUGUCAGAAAUCUUCCAUUCAAGGCUAAAGCAAAUGAAUUAAGAGAUGCGUUUUCGUCAGCUGGUUUUGUCUGGGAUGUAUUUAUUCCUCAUAAUUCUUCAACAGGGCUAUCGAAGGGUUUUGCAUUCGUCAAAUUUACAUGUAAACAGGACACAGAAAAUGCCAUUAAAAGUUUCAAUGCGCAAAUGUAUGGCAAAAGGACCAUGGCUGUUGACUGGGCUGUUCCAAAGAAAAUUUAUAGUAGUGGUGCCAAUGUGUCUGUCGCCACAGAAGAUGGUGUAUGAUCUAUGGCUUUUUAAAAAUGGAUGCAGUUUGGUUCAAACAUAGUUUUGCUUAUUCUUAUAAAACUUUAAAGUUGGAGACAGGGCAGUGCGAGGCUUUUAUGUUUUGGGGUUUCUUUGAGCGAGGAGCUUCAGCUCGCAGAUAUUCAAACUGAUCAAGCUAUAAGGAAUUUGCUGUCAAAAAGAUUGAUAUUUCCUUUAUAGAUCUAUUUCAGUUUUUACUUUUAUGUCAACUCCUUUUCUUGUCUCUAUACCUUUUUUAUUAACAGAGCUCAACAUCUUAGCAUUUAUGCUAGAAAAUGAUAUCCUUAUGUUGAUUGUAGUUGAGCCAUUUUAGUUCUUUUACAGGACAGCAGAAUGAAACAGAAGGGAGCAGUGACAGUAGUAGUGAUGAUAUAGAGGAGGAAGAUUUUGAUGAUGAUAGAGAAGAUGUAGCUCCUGACAAGUCAGAUUCAUUUGAGAAAGAGGACAUUCCUGCUGAAGUUGAUUUUGAUGCGGAGGCAGACAUUGCAAGAAAAGUUCUUAAGAAUUUGAUCACAUCUUCAUCCAAAGGUUCCAUUCUUUCUGAUGUUAAUGAUUCCACACUGCCAAGGGGAAACAAUAAGCCAAAUUCUGAUGAAACUGUUAAUGUGCCAAAUGAGAAGUCCAGUGAACAAGAAAUUUCUUCUGGUAUUACUCCAGCUGGAAGCUCGGGCAAGACUAAUUCGGCUGAUAUUCAAAAGAGAGAGGCAGAAGACGAUUUACAGAGAACAGUUUUCUUAAUUAAUCUUCCUUUUGAUGUGAUAAUGUCAUAAUGAAGAAGUGAAACAACAGUUAUCUGCAUUUGGCGAAGUGAAAUCCUUUGUCCCAGUUCUUCAUCAAGUUACACCAAGUACAGAGUCAUGCACAAUGCUACAUGCUUCCAUAUUUCCUAUUCUUUAAAUAACUAUAUGUGAUGCUUAUGCUCAUGGCUGGCGACCAAGGAGUACUGGUUUUCUCAAAUUUAAAAGAAAAGAUGCAGCCACUACAGCAGUUUCUGCAGCUGAUGUUGCAUUUGGUUGGGGAUUUUGCUGAAAGGUGGGCAAUUGACAGUCUUGAAGGCCUUGAAUAACAAUGAUAAGGGAAUGGAGAAGGCCAACAUUGGGGAUCAUGAUCACCGCAAUCUUUACCUGGCAAAGGAAGGUCUUAUUCUUGAGGGGACUCCAGCUUCUGAAUGCAUUUCAGCCAGUGACGUGCCUAAGCAGAAAAUGCGAGCUGCAUGAAAAGAAGAUGACUAAGCUUCACUCCUCAAAUUUUCAUGUUUCAAGGACCAGAUUUGUUAUAUACAACUUAGUACCCCGUCAAUGACCGAAAAAAAGCUGAAAAAGCUUUUUAUUGAUGCAGUUAUCUCACGAGCUACAAAGCAAAAACCCAUGAUUCGACAAGUUGGUUAAAGUUGUUGGUUAAUAAUUAUUUUGAGAUGUUAUUGUGUUGCUUGGUGUCAUUAUAAGCAUUUUUUUUGUGUGUGUGUAUCUCAAGAACUACAAAUACAUGACUUUCUGUCACUUGAUAUUGCUGAUGCAGAUAAAGCUCUUGAAAGUAUGAAGAAUGGAAAGCUUGUUGCAAAGAACAGGUCAUGUGGGGUGCCUUUGUUGAGUUUACGGAGCAUCAACAUGCACUUGUGGCCCUGAGGGUUCUUAAUAAUAAUCAUGGACCUGUUAUUCCUAUGAAUAUGAUGAUAGGUAGCAAAUUUGUUUCUAACUUGAAUGCAACCUUUAGCUGCUUGUAGAAACUUUUGGUCCUGAGCAUCGUCCAAUUGUGGAGUUUGCACUUGAUAAUGUUCAAAAAUUGAAGCUCUGGAAAGCUAAGCUACAAGCUCAGCAGCAGGAAAGCCAUGAUGAUUUGAAAGAUAUACAGGAUAAUAAGUGUCGAGUUAACUGAAUGACAUUCCAAGGAGAAGGAGAACUUUAGAAAGCGAAAAUCAUGGGGUGAGAAUAGAGCAUGAAAGAAUUCAGAACUAGAUAAAAAUAUAGAGGAAAAUAUGGUUUCAGAGGGAGCUUCCCCCAAAAAGCAAAGAAGUGAUAAGAAGCGCAAGAGCAAUGCAGGAAGUGGAGAAACAAAAGCUGCUGUACAAGAUAAAUUUAAUAGCACAAAACAGAAGGUGAAAGGCUCUGUGCACGAGCAAAAUGAUAAGAGUUUCAGGAAACCUGAUAACAGAAGUUUAGUCAAAGGUGAAAUGACGGCUAGAAAUACCGAUGAAUCCAAACCUGCCAAGGAAGCAGGUUUGAAGCUGAAAAAGAGGAAGCUGUUAAACCAGGCAGCACAGGGAGGGGAAAAAAGUUCAAAGAAAAGACCAAAAAAGAACAAAGAUCCCUUAGGGCGGGACGUUGUAGACAAACUUGAUAUGCUUAUAGAAGAAUACAAGUCCAAGUUCUCAAAGCUGAGUUCUGAGAAACCUGAAGG
rnacentral:misc_RNA from 1 species